rnacentral:lncRNA from 1 species
UAUGCUACCGACUUAGGUUCGGAUCUAUGAGGUCACACACAUUAGAGUUCAUGAUCCGAUCGGAUGGUUGAUCAACGAUUAAGAAUCAUUCUAGGGUUAAUUGAUCAAUACGAUUGACAUUUAACCUAGUACAAGUGUUGCAGGAGGAUCGAUUAGCAAUUCGAUUGCUAAUUGGCUUAAUUUGAUUAAGCCAAUAGGCUGAGAUUAAGUCUAAUUGAAUAUGAU